UCCUCCUCCUCCUCCUCCACAUCCUCCACCUUCACCACCCCUCCUGCUCAUCGCCAGAACUAAGAGUGCCCCACCCCAUCUCAGCAACCACCACCAGUUUCUCCUGCAGCCACCGCCUCCACCUGCAGAUUCUGACAGCCACUGCUGACAGCCAAACCACCUCCUACAGCCUCUGCCAGUGCACCUGCGUCUACACCUCUUGAAGUCAACUGCAGCCGAACCUCCACCCACAGCCUCUGUCAGCAACCUGCAGCUGUCACCUCCACCUGCAGAUUUUUACAGAUCGCUACUGCUCAACCUCCACUGACAACUUUUGUCAGCAACCUGAACCAGCACCUACACCUCUCGUACACUACUGCCAUCCAAACCUCCACCUGUAACCUUUGCCAGCCGCCUGAAGACACCUCCUCCACCUGAAGAUUCCCACAGAAAGCUGGGGUCAAACCUCCACCUUCAGCCUCUAUAAGGAAACCUGCACAGACGUUAUCCUACUGCCAUGGUUGGAUCUAAGUGGAACAGCAACGACCAGAGAAACACUGGUGUUUCCAUACGUUGUGUGAAAGACUGAGCACACACUCCUCAACAUGAACCUGACUGAUUGUGAUGAUGCCUUCAUGAAACAGAAAGAGCUCCUCUUCCUCCCACCUGCCUUGUUGGACUUCCAGAUCCAGAGAUGCUUCCUCCUCCUCCCUAUCGUGCACGUUCACCACCCCUCCUGCUCAUCGCCAGAACUAAAAAUGCCCCUCCCCAUCUCUGCAACCACCAGCACUUUCUACGCAAGCCGAUUCAUUGAAGUCCAAAGAUUGCAGAGACGCUCCACCCGAGACUUCAGUGCCUUACUUUUCCAACAACGCCCCCUAAAACGACGUCCAAUGUGCUCUUUUACUGUGUACUUUAAGCCUCUGCACUGUUUUACAAUACAUGUUUCAUUAUCUGCAUCAAUCAGAUCAUGUGUCUCUAACUAUCUAACAAGUCCUUUUAUCUGCAUUUAUAAUUGUUAGUAAGUCCUUAAUAAACGGUUUUGAGUUA